GUUAUAAAAAUAAUUUUUCAAAGUUUAUCAAUGAUAUAAUUAAAAUACACUAUUCUUUUGUUUGAAUAUCUGUAGCUCAGUCCAUUUUUAAGACAUUCUGUUCUGAAGAGGACAUUCAAUGUCACUCUACCAAAUCCUUCCCUGAUCAAGAGAGAAAACACUUUUACUACAGGACAAAAAGCCAAACAAAAACGCUCAGGAAGCAAAGUAAAAUCUUCUAAAUGUUACUAGUCACCCUACAUAAAACUAGAAAGCCCAGAAGAAAGGACACAAGAUCCAUGCUCCUGACCUUAGGAUAACUGAUUUAAACUUUUCUUCACCUUUCAAAUGGUAAGUUCUUAAACUGCCACUUGCGUCUAUUUCAUUAGUGUUGCAGGAUUUUUUUUUUUACCUCAAUACCCGGGAUUGGUUGUCUUGCUGUUUCAAAGAAUGAAGAGGUGAACACAAAAUAAAAUAAGCAGCAGGCAAGAGUUUAUUACA
rnacentral:lncRNA from 1 species